UCGCUUGCCUUCCCUCCUUCCGCCCCUUCCUAGGGUUUCCCGCCGCGCCUAGUCUCUGCUCUCUGAUGUUGGCGAUACUGAAGGACAUGAAGCUGGCCCCGUUGUGAAGCGGGAGUGGGUGGGCCGGUUGGUGGAGGGAGGAAGCGUGACAUCACAGCCAAGCAGAGGCACAGGAUAUGCGGGAGAGUGUUGAUCAACGAUGUGCAGCAGCUACCUCCGGUACGCGCACACCCACCCACCCACCCACCCACACACACACACACACACAAACGUCUUCGCCACCUAUGCACACGUGACUGGCUGCGUCGGCUUGCGUGUAACACGAUGCCACGCGGGUGCGUGACGUGAACUUUGCCGUUGCCCGCCACCCCCUCGCUGCUUUCAUUUUCUCCUCGCGCUGUGUUCCUCUGCUCUCUCCCGCUCCUCGCUGCACAGCGUGUGCCUCUGGUGAACCGAGGUGUACUCGUCGAGGGACCGAGAGAGCUUCGGGUUGCUGUGUGAGAGGGAGGUGAGUGGGCCGGUGGGGCGUUGGGGGGUUGGGGCAGCAGCGGACGACGGAUUGAUGCAAUGCAGGCAGAUAAGUGAAUGCUAAAUGGAAGCAAAGGUAUCGGGCAGCGACACAGGGAAAGAUGGAGGGGUAGGCCCGCGAGUGGUGAGGCUGUAGGCGGCAGCUACGCACGUCCCGCUCCUCGCUACUGCCCUCUUUCCCCUUUUAUGUGCCUUGGCAAAGUCGAUGGAUGCCGUCGCCAGCAUACGCGUGCAAAAAGACGCGGGCAUCCACACCCACCCAUGCCUCACAGAGGGUACGUAGCGGCACCUGCGAGCUCGCUUCUGUUGCCGCUCCGCUUCUCCGCCAACAGCCUUUCCCCGCCUUCACCUUCUCCCGCCCCCUUCCCCUUCGUGCGAUCGCCGCGCACGCGCCCGUUUUCGUUUUUUUUUUUGCUCGUGUCUGUGGUUACCGUCGUGGAACACUCGUGGGCGCAUGGGCACGCUGACGGACCGCUGCGCAUACGUAUGCGCGGCCCCUGUCCCUUGGCAGGUAG
rnacentral:misc_RNA from 1 species